UCUCUGAGGAGAAAGCAGGGGAUCGCAAGACCUUGUGCUUUUAGAGCGGCCGAUGCCUGAUUAGCUUGUUGGUGAGGUAAAAGCUCACCAAGGCUUCGAUCAGUAGCUGGUCUGAGAGGACGGCCAGCCACACUGGGACUGAGACACGGCCCAGACUCCUACGGGAGGCAGCAGUGGGGAAUUUUGGACAAUGGGGGCAACCCUGAUCCAGCCAUGCCGCGUGAGUGAAGAAGGCCUUCGGGUUGUAAAGCUCUUUCAGCCGGAACGAAACGGUUACGGUUAAUACCCGUGAUUACUGACGGUACCGGAAGAAGAAGCACCGGCUAACUACGUGCCAGCAGCCGCGGUAAUACGUAGGGUGCGAGCGUUAAUCGGAAUUACUGGGCGUAAAGCGUGCGCAGGUGGUUUUGUAAGUCAGAUGUGAAAUCCCCGGGCUUAACCUGGGAACUGCGUUUGAAACUACAAGACUAGAGUGUAGCAGAGGGGGGUGGAAUUCCGCGUGUAGCAGUGAAAUGCGUAGAGAUGUGGAGGAACACCGAUGGCGAAGGCAGCCCCCUGGGUUAACACUGACACUCAGGCACGAAAGCAUGGGGAGCAAACAGGAUUAGAUACCCUGGUAGUCCAUACCCUAAACGAUGUCAACUAGUUGUCGGGCCUUUGCGGGCUUGGUAACGUAACUAACGCGUGAAGUUGACCGCCUGGGGAGUACGAUCGCAAGAUUAAAACUCAAAGGAAUUGACGGGGACCCGCACAAGCGGUGGAUUAUGUGGAUUAAUUCGAUGCAACGCGAAAAACCUUACCUACCCUUGACAUGUAUCGAAACC
rnacentral:rRNA from 1 species